rnacentral:rRNA from 1 species
GCGGACGGGUGAUAACUUUUGGAAACCUGCCUGUAAGACUGGGAUAACUCCGGGAAACCGGGGCUAAUACCGGAUGGUUGUUUGAACCGCAUGAUUCAAACAUAAAAGGUGGCUUCGGCUACCACUUACAGAUGGACCCGCGGCGCAUUAGCUAGUUGGUGAGGUAACGGCUCACCAAGGCGACGAUGCGUAUCCGACCUGAGAGGGUGAUCGGCCACACUGGGACUGAGACACGGCCCAGACUCCUUCGGGAGGCAGCAGUAGGGAAUCUUCCGCAAUGGACGAAAGUCUGACGGAGCAACGCCGCGUGAGUGAUGAAGGUUUUCGGAUCGUAAAGCUCUGUUGUUAGGGAAAAACAAGUGCCGUUCAAAUAGGGCGGUACCUUGACGGUACCUAACCAUAAAGCCACGGCUAACUACGUGCCAGCAGCCGCGGUAAUACGUAAGUGGGAAUCGUUGUCCGGAAUUAUUGGGCGUAAAGGGCUCGCAGGCGGUUUCUUAAGUCUGAUGUGAAAGCCCCCGGCUCAACCGGGGAGGGUCAUUGGAAACUGGGGAACUUGAGUGCUGAAUAGGAGAGUGGAAUUCCACGGGCAGCGGGGAAAUGCCCCACAGAUGUGGACGGAACACCAUUGGCGAAGGGCGACUCCCCUGCCCCUGUAACUGACGCUGAUGAUCGAUAGCAAAGUGUGGAGCGCGCACAAUUAAGAUAUCCCGUUAGUGCACGCGGUGUACGAUAAGUGUUAUAAGUGAGGGGGGAUUCCCCCCCUAUAGUUGCACAUAUAACACUAAGCACUCUCCGCGUGGAGAGCACUGUCACAAGUGAAAAUCUCAGAAAAUGUCGGGGGGCCGCACAAGAGGGGGGGCAUGUGGUGUUUUAUUAAAAACCACGAAGAGCCCUUUCAGGUGUUGACAUCUUCUGUCACUCUUAGAGAUAUGGGGUCCCCCUUUGGGGCAGAGAGUCACAGGGGGCAUAGUUUUCUUCUCAUCUUGUGUUGAGAGAUUUGGGUAAGUGUCCCACCGAGAGCGCCCCCUGAUAUUAUUGUCCACCACACAGAGGGGCGCUCUAAGGGGUGUCUCGGGGUCACACCGGAGGAAGGGGGGGAGAUCGUCUCAUCUCCUCACCCCUUAUAACCCGGGGUACACACGUGUUAUACAAGGCACAGCACAGGGCACAGAAACCGCGAGAGUAAAACACUAUCCCACAUAUGUUUUCAGUUUGGGUAGCACUGUGCACAUCGAGUGUGUGAAAAGGUAAUAUCUAUUAUUAUCGGAGCACCACACCCCGGGGAAUAUGUUUCCGGGCCCGGUGCACACCGCCCGUCUCACCCCGAGAGAUUGUGUCACCCGAAAAGGGGGAGAUAUCCCUUUAGGAGACACAGGCCGAAGAGGGGGCACAUAAGAGUGGGAAUCCCAGAG